UGCCACUGCCACUCCUCUUCCGGU
rnacentral:siRNA from 1 species